rnacentral:lncRNA from 1 species
UUUUUAAAGCCACUGUUAUUAUCAUGAAAAUCGAUAAUCCAUAAAUAUCAAGAAUCAUCAUAAUUUCAAAAAUAUAUACUCAUUAAUCAUAACUUCAAAUUAAACAUGAUUUCAUAUACUCAAAAUCGAGAAAUAACAAUGGAAAUCAACAUGAUACACAUUAUUACUUCUCAACCACAUAUAGCAUGAUUUCAUAAGGUAUUUUUAAUCAAAAUCAUUUU